rnacentral:rRNA from 1 species
CGCUGGCGGCGUGCUUAACACAUGCAAGUCGAACGGAAAGGCCCUGCUUUUGUGGGGUGCUCGAGUGGCGAACGGGUGAGUAACACGUGAGUAACCUGCCCUUGACUUUGGGAUAACUUCAGGAAACUGGGGCUAAUACCGGAUAGGAGCUCCUGCUGCAUGGUGGGGGUUGGAAAGUUUCGGCGGUUGGGGAUGGACUCGCGGCUUAUCAGCUUGUUGGUGGGGUAGUGGCUUACCAAGGCUUUGACGGGUAGCCGGCCUGAGAGGGUGACCGGCCACAUUGGGACUGAGAUACGGCCCAGACUCCUACGGGAGGCAGCAGUGGGGAAUAUUGCACAAUGGGCGGAAGCCUGAUGCAGCAACGCCGCGUGCGGGAUGACGGCCUUCGGGUUGUAAACCGCUUUCGCCUGUGACGAAGCGUGAGUGACGGUAAUGGGUAAAGAAGCACCGGCUAACUACGUGCCAGCAGCCGCGGUGAUACGUAGGGUGCGAGCGUUGUCCGGAUUUAUUGGGCGUAAAGGGCUCGUAGGUGGUUGAUCGCGUCGGAAGUGUAAUCUUGGGGCUUAACCCUGAGCGUGCUUUCGAUACGGGUUGACUUGAGGAAGGUAGGGGAGAAUGGAAUUCCUGGUGGAGCGGUGGAAUGCGCAGAUAUCAGGAGGAACACCAGUGGCGAAGGCGGUUCUCUGGGCCUUUCCUGACGCUGAGGAGCGAAAGCGUGGGGAGCGAACAGGCUUAGAUACCCUGGUAGUCCACGCUGUAAACGGUGGGUACUAGGUGUGGGGUCCAUUCCACGGGUUCCGUGCCGUAGCUAACGCUUUAAGUACCCCGCCUGGGGAGUACGGCCGCAAGGCUAAAACUCAAAGGAAUUGACGGGGCCCCGCACAAGCGGCGGAGCAUGCGGAUUAAUUCGAUGCAACGCGUAGAACCUUACCUGGGUUUGACAUGGAUCGGGAGUGCUCAGAGAUGGGUGUGCCUCUUUUGGGGUCGGUUCACAGGUGGUGCAUGCCUGUCGUCAGCUCGUGUCGUGAGAUGUUGGGUUAAGUCCCGCAACGAGCGCAACCCUUGUUCACUGUUGCCAGCACGUUAUGGUGGGGACUCAGUGGAGACCGCCGGGGUCAACUCGGAGGAAGGUGGGGAUGACGUCAAGUCCUCAUGCCCCUUAUGUCCAGGGCUUCACGCAUGCUACAAUGGCUGGUACAGAGAGUGGCGAGCCUGUGAGGGUGAGCGAAUCUCGGAAAGCCGGUCUCAGUUCGGAUUGGGGUCUGCAACUCGACCUCAUGAAGUCGGAGUCGCUAGUAAUCGCAGAUCAGCAACGCUGCGGUGAAUACGUUCCCGGGGCUUGUACACACCGCCCGUCAAGUCAUGAAAGUUGGUAACACCCGAAGCCGGUGGCCUAACCGUUGUGGGGGAGCCGUCGAAGGUGGGACUGGUGAUUAGGACUAAGU